rnacentral:lncRNA from 1 species
GGAGCUCCUGAUGUAAGCCGUUGUCAGCCUCUCACUCAGCCUGUGUCCUCACCCUGUUGUUCAGAUUGAGGUUAACACAGGAGGUCAAGGACUGUCAUGAUUCAGUGUUUUACUUGCCAUUUCUUCAGGAAACAAAAUACUUAGAAAAUCUCUUCCAUUUUGAGAGCCUCUGUUUCCUUUCAUGAGUUCUGUUCCUAAACAGGAGAACUCAUGGGUCACUGGUUGAGCAAAUGCUUAGCAUGUAUGGAGCCCUGGGUUUGAUCCAUAGCAUACACAAGAAAGACAGAAUCAUAGGAAUUGAACCACAUGUGUCUGUCUGCCUUUCGGGCUGGUGGUGUGGUUUUCUUCUAAGUAGCAGUGGUCUGUGCUGCCUCCCGAGUGCUGUGAUUGAAGAUGUGCACCACCACGCCUGGUUUAAGAUUGAACAGUCUUAAAGGACAAAAGACACCUUGUAGGGCUGGGGAGAUGGCUCAAAGCAGCGGUUCUCAGCCCUCUUAAUGCUGCAACCCUUUAAUACGGUUCCUCAGGCCUGGGUGACCUCCAACCAUAAGAUUUUUUUGUUGUUGUUUGUUUUGUUUUGUUUUGUUUUUUGAGACAGGGUUUCUCUGUGUAGCUCUGGCUGUCCUGGAACUCACUUUGUAGACCAGGCUGGCCUCGAACUCAGAAAUCUGCCUGCCUCUGCCUCCUGAGUACUGGGUUUAAAGGCGUGCGCCACCAUGCCCAGUCAUAAGAUUAUUUUUGUUGCUACUUUACAGCUGUAAUUUUGCUACUAUUUUAAAUCGUAAUGUAUCUUAGUGGUGGUGUCUGCCUUUAAUCCUAGUAAGUGGGAGGCAAAGGCAGGUAGGUGGCUUUCUGUGAGUUUGAGGCCAGCAUGGUCUACAGAGCUAGUUCUAGGACAGCCAAGGCUAUACAAAGAAACCCUGCCUCAAAAAAUCAAAUAAAUAAAUCGUAAUGCAAAUACCUGUUUUUGGAUGGUCUAAAUACAACCUCUGUGAAAGGAUUGUUUGUUCUCAAAAGGGGUCAUGACCCACAGAUUGAGAAAUGCUGGCUCAACGUCCACCCAAGCACCAUGGCGCACACACCUACUCUCUCCCUCUUUGUUCCUCCCUCUCUCUUACAUGGUCUUGUAAAGUCAGGUUUGAUCUCAGGGGACUAACCUACACCUAGGUUGUUGGCUUUUAACCAAUACUAAGUGUGCUGUGGUGGCACACAUUUUUAAUCCCAGCACUGGAAGGUAGAGGUAGGUAGACUGCUGGGAGUUUAAGGCCAUCCUGGUCUACAGAGUGAGUUCCAGGACAGCCAGGGGUACACAGAGAAAGUGUACCUAGGAGGGGGUAGGGGGAGAGAGAGAGCCUGACUCAAAAAAAGAG